GCUCUUGGUGUUCUACACGGUUUCUCAUUUCCCUUAAAUUGCAUCCCUGGCUUCUCCACUUGCCUCCCUUCCUCCCUUAGUCCGUCCUACCGAGGAAUCCUGGGAGAGACGCAAGGAAGUCACCGGAGAAGAGAGGAAACAAGGAAAUGGGUUUUAGAGGGAUGAGACGUCCUUUCCUUUGAA